GACGAACGCUGGCUGCGUGCUUAACACAUGCAAGUCGAACGGAAAGGCCCUGCUUUUGUGGGGUGCUCGAGUUGCGAACGGGUGUGUAACACGUGAGUAACCUGCCCUUGACUUUGGGAUAACUUCAGGAAACUGGGGCUCAUACCGGAUAGGAGCUCCUGCUGCAUGGUGGGGGUUGGAAAGUUUCGGCGGUUGGGGAUGGACUCGCGGCUUAUCAGCUUUUUGGUGGGGUAGUGGCUUACCAAGGCUUUGACGGGUAGCCGGCCUGAGUGGGUGACCGGCCAAAUUGGGACUGAGAUACGGCCCAGACUCCUAAGGGAAGCAAGAGGGGGGAAUAUUGCAAAAUGGGCGGAAGCCUGGGGCAGGAACGCCGCGUGCGGGAAGAAGGCCUUCGGGUUGUAAACCGCUUUCGCCUGUGAAGAAGCGGGAGUGACGGUAAUGGGUAAAGAAGCACCGGCUAACUACGUG
rnacentral:rRNA from 1 species